AUUGUUCUUCAGAGAGAGGCGAUGAGUUUUGGGGUUUCUCUCACAAGAGGAUCUGGGCAAGUAUUUUUGAAUCUGGAUUCAAUUACUAUAAGAAUUAGAAAAUUAACAAGAAAACAGAUAGUCACUUUUGGCAUUCUUCUUUGGUCGAACGGAUGAUCAUUUUGGGCUUCACUGGAUUUCUUUUGGAGAAUUUUCUGAGGCUUUUCAUUUUAUGUAUGGUUCGUUUUGCAAUUUUGACGGUUGCCUCAUGGUUAUUCUAUCGAGAACUAGACAAGGAUUUUUGAGGAUGGCUAUCAGUUCUAUUCCAGAGAAAUCGAGAAGUUUAAUCACAAGCGGCUACUCUAUCUUGUCAUGAUUCAGAUGAUACUGAGAAGUCCAAACUCAACAGCCAAGGUGCACAUGGAAGAUUAUCUUAGUUUUCAUGGUUUUCUGGUUCUAUAUUAUACUACUUCCCUCGAUUUUCAUUGUCAAUAAUCUAGUAUGUGAAUAUUUCUUAAGAGUUCAUUGAUUUCACUUUUGCUCUGUGCACUAAACUCCCUCAAUCAGAGGUUGAUUUGCUCUUCUAAUUUUAUUGCUACUACGUACUAUUACUUUCUAUCGAAUACAAUUCUACAAUUUACAGCUGCUUGAAAACAUAAAGCUUGGAUAUUUUUCCUACUAUAAUAUUUGUUAUCUCAUAGUUCUUUUAAGAUGGGAUAUUUUUUUUCUACUACAAUAUUUGUUAUCUCAUAGUUCUUUUAAGAUGUUGACUUUCAUAUUUUUAUUUUCGAAGCGAGAAAAUCUGUAAACCUGUUAAAGAGGAAUUAAUCAUAUGAAUUAGAUUAUUCUUUGGAGGGCCACUGGCAACAAGCAAGGUUAACAUUUCUGAUGCAUAAAUAUUAUUUAUACUGGCACGAUCCUGAUUGAAGCAUCAAGAUUUAAAAUUUCUGUUUUGAUACUUAUAUAUGUGUCGAUACUAACCUUCUAGGGAAUGUAUGCGUUUAUAUGCUUUUGGUGCUCAUAAAGAAUUCCUUGUGCGCGAUGGGAAUUGUAACACAUUGGAAUGAUUAGGUAUGUAAUCUCUAAUCUUUUCAUAUCUAUGUGAAUCUUGUUGCUAGACGAGUACACUUACUUGAAGCCAAAUAUGUCAUUUCAUGCUUCAAUUUUUUUGGGACCUUACGCGUUCAAGAGCUCAAUUAGAGUUCUAUAGAAAGUAGCAACACCAAAAAUGUCGUCAAACUUGAAGCAACUUCUCUUUGCACCUAUGUCAAGGUUUGUCUCCUAUACAUUUUAAUUUGUUUUUAUUUCAGUUUUCUCUAACUUGGUAAUUUCUUUCAUAAUCAAAGCAUUUUCUAACUCUCAUUGGUUAAUAAUAUAAUCAAAUAAAUGGGUAAGCAUGCCUCGUACUUAAAUUUGGCUGGGAUUCCUAAAAUACUAAGGUUUGGCCCUUGAGGAAGCUUCAAUGAGAUUGAAACCUGCUUGGGCUCAAAAAAGGUCGAGACUCCUUGAGCUUGAUUUUCGGUCCUUGGGAAGGAUUAUACUUAAAUGGCAUUCAAGAUUUGCUUGUGCUCCAUUCAGCCUUAGGAAGAAAUAUGCACAAACAAGGUCGAGAGUCGUUGACACUCACUUGGGAUAAGUGUUGCUCGAACCUUGAUGACUCUCGGCUUUAGGUUUGUACUUGAAUGUGAUCCAGAGUAGUGAGAGGGUACAACUUGGCCUUAACAAGAAUAUGCUCGAACUAAGUUGAGAAUAUGCUUGCCCUUAGCAAGAAUAUGCUUGAACUAAGUUGAGAUUCGCUUUGGCCUCAAUAAGAUGAAAUAUUCUUUGACGAGGUCGAGAUUUGGGCUCAACAUCACCUUUCCAUAGAAAUUAAGUUUAAACGAAGUCGAUAUUGACUUCUUCAGUCUUUGGUUUAAUUUCCUCACAUAUAAGGUGGUAUUCCUGUGUGCUCCAAUGCUAUUGGUUGACAAUGCUCCGUAUUACAUUUUGUGUUCCCUAUCUUCUAUUUUAUCUCUUAGCAUCAAUUUGGUAUACAUUUGGCUGGAUUUGUUAUAAUGCUACUUGCGAAGUGGUACUCUACUUUCUUUUUCAGCAAAAAAUAAAAAAUAAUAAUUUCAAUGUUCCAAUUCAUAAAUGGUUGCCCCAAGAAGUAAUCGCAGAACACUUUCAGAAAAUUCUGAAGAGUUAUGGAGACAGUUGGACAGUUGCAAAAUCAGUCUGGUAAAACAGAAAUCUCUGAAAGUCAUCAGUUGCUUUCAUAAUUUACUAAUAAUGUUAUUUACUAGUUCAUAAAGGCGGGAUGUGUUAUAAUGCAUAUAUAUUAAUUAUCAUGAGAUUUGGUUACAAUCCAAAUAAGAUGUUCCAAUUCAUACAAGCAGUUGCUCCAAGAAGUAAUCGCAAAACACUUUCAGAAAAUUCUAAAGAGCUAUGGAAAUUAGUUCUGUAAUACUUGGUAGAAAGGAGAUAAGUAAUAUACUACUAAUGUUAUUAUUUUAUACUACUAAUGUUAUUAUUUUUCAAUAAUGUUGAAUUUUAUGCGCAAUAAUAGAGAGAUGAAAGAUAGAAAUUAACAAAAAAUAUUUAUGUAGUACGUGAUUCGGUGAUGUGCCUACGUCCACAAGAGGGAAGCAAAGAUAACAACAUUAUUAUUUAUAUUAAUCCUAGCCCGAAUCCAUAUAAGACUUUAAGGUCCAAACUAUUUAGCGCACUAUACUCUCUGUUGCUCCACUUCGACGUCAGCCCAUUUGAUCCAGUAAAUUUGUGUUCCACAACAAUCUCUUCACCUUGGCGAAGUUAAUCAAGUAGAGCGUUUCCAUUUUGAUUGGCUUCGCACUUGCAAGUGUGAAAAUAUAACUUGUAUGGGACAUUCUAUCAUUCAGGUCGCCUGCAUAAUCUGCAUCUACCUAUCCCUAAACUAAAAUAAUCUACUCCUUUCGAAUUUUCAUUUUAUUUUAUAGGGCUCGAAACUUGAUCUCUAUGCCAAGAAUCUUUCAUAUCAAACUUACUAUCUAACAAAGAUUUCAAUCUGUCUACCUCAUUCAUGUUCUUGGCAGAAAUUAGCAUGUCAUCCACAUACAACAUCAAGAAAAUAUAUGAACCAACCUCGAACUCUUUAGUCUACACACAAGAUUCUCUGUACACUCUUUAGUUUGCAUACAAGAUUCUCUGUUCUGGGUUUCAAGAACCCUCUGGCUGCUAUCUGUUCCUCCAAAUCAUCACUAAGGAAAGUUGUCUUCACAUCAUUAAGGAAAGCAGUUUCCACAUUGCUUCUUUUUUUCGGUACACCCACUUGCAUACACUUUACGUGCACUUUAUUGGUUUCUCUCUCCUCUGGAAGCUCCACCAAAUUUUAAGUAUCAUUAUUAUGUAGUAACUCAAUUUACUCUAGAGAAGUCAUCGAUGAAAGUAAUUUAAUAUCAGAGAGCACGUAAUCAAGAAUGCCCACCGUCUUGUGCUUUCACAUCUCCAACUGUACUCUGUUACAUGCCUAACAUCCUCAUUUCAAUGACCAUACGUGAUGCAUCUUACCCAUUAGAACAAAUUACCCCCAUUUUACCCUCUUCAACAAAUUACUCUUGUAAAGCUCAAAUGUUUUCCUAUAUGUCCCAAUCCAAUAUGCUAUAGAAAGAAAUUAGGUUCUUUCUUAACUCUAUUACUUGCCUAACAUCCUCAUUUCAACGACUUUACAUGAUGCAUCUUUACCCAUUAGAUAUGAAACGAGUCGAUUCCGAUGAGGAUACAUGUGAUAUGAACUGGCUGAAUCAAGAAUCCAACAAUUAUGUACUAUAAGAAUUAUCUGCAGAGUGAUAAAUGUUUUUAUCUCUAGAAUCCGAGUCUUCUUUUGCAAUAGUAGCUGAGUUUGAGGACCCACCGCUUUUCAUUUCAUCACACUGCUGACAGUCUUUCUUAAAGUGGCCCCAUCUGUGGAGGCAUUUGUAGUACUUGGCUUUUUUUCUUAUUUUAAUUCCUAAAUUUUGAUCUCUAACACCCUUUGUAAGAACAACCUUUGUCCUUCCUUCUCCCACAAUAUUCACGAUCAACCCUUCACCCUAUGAACUUCCUCCAAUUCGAGAGUCUCUUUACCCUACGUCAACGUAGUCACCAGGUGGUCCUACGAAGAAGAAGAGCACAACAAUAUCAUUGGUCUUCAUCAUCAAACUUAAUUUCAAGUUGUAGCAAAACACUAAUAAUUUGAUUGAAUACAUUGGUGUUCAGAUCUGUACCCUUCAACAUCUUGAGCUCCCACAGUCGCUGCUUCGUAUGCUACUUGUUCAUGAGAGACUUUAACAUAUAAUGACUUUGACCCAAUUUUUGCCAAACAUUCGUCAGAAACUUCCCAGAUAGUGCCUUCACCAUCCCUGACAUAUCCUUCACCAUUUUUUGCCAUUAUUCGAAAUUUCCAGAUCCGUCAAAGUUCAUCACAUAGAAUUUUGCAAUCGAAGAACUCGUCAUCUGAACCUGGUUAUUUUCGUGGUUCGGCGAUGUGCCUUGAAGUAGGCUUUUUUAGCUCAAACUCAUACAAGACUUUAAGACAUAAGAUAAUACCCCCUAUACUGCACCCCUAAUCGAUGUCGCAUCUGCUCCAUUUCAUUCGGUACGCCACGCUUCCCUCGCUUCGCUUCGCUCCGCUCCAACACCAACCUAUUUGAUUCAGUAAACCUAUCUUCCACCCUAUAUGAGCUACAUACACAACUUAAUUUCUUCUAAAAUUGCUAUUAUUUGACAUCAAACAAAUCUUUCUUAUUGGAGCGAUUUUUCUUUUUACCAUUGCUAGGUUUGUGUUUUUGAUGAAUUCAUUUUCUUUAUUUAAAUUCUGUUUUCCCUCACAACUCAUAAUUUCUUUCUUUCUCAUUUGAUUUCAUAGAUUAUUAAAUCUAAUAUCUUCUAAAUAGAUUCAACUAGCAUUCCUCCUAAAGCAAUUUAUAUUCUUUAUUUCAUUUGCAAUUUGUAUUCAUCUAAUCACAUUUGACAAGUAUGUAUUCGUUUGAACAUAAAGCAAGGAGCGAGUCGACCCCAAGUGAAUUUCAACCCCGUUUGAAUAUACUUUAUCCUAAGACCAAGUCAAAACUGAGCGAGUUUUGAUCUCUUUCGAGCAUAAUUCCCUUCAUGUUUGAGUUGACUUCAUUUGAGCACAAUUCCAUCUAAGGACUGCGCGAGCCCAAGCAAGUCUACUUCAUGCUAGCAUAGCUAAUCCGCAUGAUUUGUAAAAGGUUGACCAAUAAGUCUCAAGUGUGUUUUUUUCGAGGGUUGUUUGAGUCGACCUUUUUUUAGAACAAAUCCUUUUUUUUAUCCAAACCAAUAAUGUCAAUCUUUUUUAAGAAUAACUAAUUCAAUAUCUUGUUUGAGAACAAAUAAUUCAAUCUAAGGGCCCACAAUCUAUUAGAGCCUAAAGAGACUUGACCUUUUUCAAGCAUAAUUCUUUAGAUGACCGAGUCGAGCAAGUGUAUUACAACAUGGAAACAUAGUUUAAAACAACUAAAAGUAACGAAAACAAAGUCUAAACAAACUAGAAUUGCAAAAAAAAAAAAAAAACGAAUUGACAAAAAUAGCACCAAAACUUUAAAAAUCAGUUUUUGAGUCCCAAAAGAACUCGAAUGACUGAAAUUCAUCGUACAUGGCAUAGCGGUGAGUAUUGUUUAAUAUACAUCAGUCCCUUCCACCUUCGAAGAACUCGAUCCUGAGUUAUAAUUUGGAUACAAAGGCUUGUCAUCUUUAUGGAACUCGACCCCGAGUUAUAAUUUGGAUACAAAGGCUUAUACAAAUCUGCCACAUUGAAGGUUCGAGAAACACCCAUGGAAUCUGGCAAAUCUAGGUACGCAUUGGAGGAAAUUAGUGAAAAUGGUCGGUUGACGACCUUGUUUCCCUUUUAGUCUUUGAUUGAUUUAAAAAAAA